UGCAAGUCGAACGAUGAAGCUGGAGCUUGCUCCAGUGGAUUAGUGGCGAACGGGUGAGUAACACGUGAGAAAUCUGCCCUUGACUCUGGGAUAACUGCGGGAAACUGUAGCUAAUACCGGAUACUUUCCUCGGUGGGCAUCCACUGAGGAAGAAAGAAUUUCGGUCAAGGAUGAUCUCGCGGCCUAUCAGCUAGUUGGUGAGGUAACGGCUCACCAAGGCGACGACGGGUAGCCGGCCUGAGAGGGUGACCGGCCACACUGGGACUGAGACACGGCCCAGACUCCUACGGGAGGCAGCAGUGGGGAAUAUUGCACAAUGGGCGCAAGCCUGAUGCAGCAACGCCGCGUGAGGGAUGAAGGCCUUCGGGUUGUAAACCUCUUUUAGCAGGGAAGAAGCGAAAGUGACGGUACCUGCAGAAAAAGCACCGGCUAACUACGUGCCAGCAGCCGCGGUAAUACGUAGGGUGCAAGCGUUGUCCGGAAUUAUUGGGCGUAAAGAGCUCGUAGGCGGUUUGUCACGUCUGCUGUGAAAAUCCAAGGCUCAACCUUGGACUUGCAGUGGGUACGGGCAGGCUAGAGUGCGGUAGGGGGAGAUGGGAAUUCCUGGUGUAGCGGUGGAAUGCGCAGAUAUCAGGAGGAACACCAAUGGCGAAGGCACAUCUCUGGGCCGUAACUGACGCUGA
rnacentral:rRNA from 1 species